GUCUACCUCAUUUGGUAAAAUUCAAGGCUCUUAACCUUGUGGUCAUGGGUUCAAGCCCCAUGGUGGGCA
rnacentral:tRNA from 1 species